rnacentral:rRNA from 1 species
UACAUGGGGUGCAAACGUUGCUCGGAAUUAUUGGGCGUAAAGCGCACGUAGGCGGUUCGUUAAGUCGGAUGUGAAAGCCCUCGGCUCAACUGAGGAAGUGCACCCGAAACUGGCGAGCUUGAGUACGAAAGAGGAUCGCGGAAUUCCCGGUGUAGAGGUGAAAUUCGUAGAUAUCGGGAGGAACACCGGUGGCGAAGGCGGUUCUCUGGACAGGUACUGACGCUGAGACGCGAAAGCGUGGGGAGCAAACAGG